rnacentral:rRNA from 1 species
UACGGGGGGGGCAAGCGUUGUUCGGAAUUACUGGGCGUAAAGGGCUCGUAGGUGGCCAACUAAGUCAGACGUGAAAUCCCUCGGCUUAACCGGGGAACUGCGUCUGAUACUGGGAGGCUUGAGUAUGGGAGAGGGAUGUAGAAUUCCAGGUGUAGCGGUGAAAUGCGUAGAUAUCUGGAGGAAUACCGGUGGCGAAGGCGGCAUCCUGGACCAUUACUGACGCUGAGGCGCGAAAGCUAGGGGAGCAAACGGG